rnacentral:tRNA from 1 species
AGCUCGUUAGCUUAGCGGUUAGAGCAUCCAUCUAUGAAUGGUCGUCGGGGGUUCAAAUCCCUCACGAGCCU